CAAGUCUUGUUGGUGGAUCACUUGGUUCGUAGAUCGAUGAAGAACGGGGCAAAACCCGUUAGAUAGCGUGAAUUGCAGACAUAUUGAACGCUAAAAUUUUGAACGCGAAUGGCAUUAACAGGUUUAUAUCUGUUAGUAUAUUCUAUUGAGGGUUGAU
rnacentral:rRNA from 1 species